AUUGAACGCUGGCGGCAUGCCUUACACAUGCAAGUCGAACGGUAACAGGUCUUCGGAUGCUGACGAGUGGCGAACGGGUGAGUAAUACAUCGGAACGUGCCUAGUAGUGGGGGAUAACUACUCGAAAGAGUGGCUAAUACCGCAUGAGAUCUACGGAUGAAAGCAGGGGAUCGCAAGACCUUUUGCUACUAGAGCGGCCGAAGGCAGAUUAGGUAGUUGGUGGGAUACAAGCUUACCAAGCCGACGAUCUGUAGCUGGUCUGAGAGGACGAUCAGCCACACUGGGGCUGAUACCCGGCCCAGACUCCUACGGGAGGCAGCAGUGGGGAAUUUUGGACAAUGGGCGCAAGCCUGAUCCAGCAAUGCCGCGUGCAGGAUGGAGGCCUUCGGGUUGUAAACUGCUUUUGUACGGAACGAAAAGCCCUGGGUUAAUACCCUGGGGUCAUGACGGUACCGUAAGAAUAAGCACCGGCUAACUACGUGCCAGCAGCCGCAGUAAUAC
rnacentral:rRNA from 1 species